UUCUGGCAGGGUAUAUGAGAUCGUCGCUGAUUGGCUGCACCUUGCUCAAGCCGAUCUUCGAUCGAUCGAUAUCCGGCCGCGGGACGGUCACACUCACAGGUCGGCAUGUUGGUGAACCUUUCCUGUUUAGCUUAGAUUUCACGUUAUCAUGGUUAUUCAUGCCAACAAGAGCUGCAAACAACUUCUCUAAUUAGUAGAAUGUGGACGGACAUUGCAUUCAUUCCCAUUCAGCCAUUGGACUGAACCGGUACCAAGACCGGAACUGUAACACAGUAAGGAUGGUCAAUAUGAAGCGAGCUUCAUUGAAUUCCUCCAAGAGCUCUGUACUCUGUUCUGAUCAUUUUGAAGAUGCUUGCUUUGACCUGGGCAGACGAUACGUCUUAAACAGGAUGCUGUCCCAACCAUAUUUGAUUUCCCGCCUCGUCUUCAGAAGAAUUCACCCAAACCAAGGUAUUUCCCAAAAGACUUUUCGAUUCAGCAAACAACCUCCCAGAUACUGCAAAGACACCAGUGCCAAAGUCUUCAGCACCUUAAUUUCUCGAAGACCACUCCUACUGAAUACCAGAAAGUCCAAGAGGGGUAAAGUGGAAGUCAACAACAAUAAUGGACUGUAUUAAAACUUGGAGAAGAGGCUGAAAACCACACAGAAGUCCUACCUUAUACAUUACUUGCUUUUAAGUUUGGACAAACAUUGAUUUGCACAACUUUACAACAAAAAAUUUACGCUGUGUGGAUUCUGAUUAUUUAAAAUAGCUCAAUGAAAACGUUUAUCACUGGGCAUGUAACAAAAAUGAAUUCAUUGAAUUUGAAGAUGUCUUACAGUAUAUUCAUUCUGAUUUGAAUGUCAGAAGAGAAAAAAGUUUGUGAAAAGUAGGAAUGACGGCAAGCUGACAGAAGAAUAGAAUACAUGUAGGAUAGAACAAGGCCACAGUUAUAAAUGAGCUGUUGGAUAGAGACAAAAAGAUGAAUUAAGAAUGGGGGUGAUAGAGAAAUAGAGACAGGAAUUGGGGAGCCUGUGAUGAAUGCCUGAGAAAGUAAAAAUUACCAUAUUUUAUUUUUUAAGGAUUUGAACAGUCAGGAAGAAUGUGGUCUUUUUUCUGUUGUUAUUUCUCAAAAUACUGGUAUGUUUUGUGUACAGAAAGGGGUAUAAUCCUUUGCAAUAAUCACUCUCACAGAAAAUAUUAACUAAUCAAAAGAAAAGUCAAAUAUUUCACUGAUUUACAAUUGUUCGGUCACUCUCAUAUCUAAAGUUACCCCCCCCCCCCCCCAUCAUUUCAAGGUAUUGGAGAGAGAGGUUGGGCAGGACAUGGCUGUCAGCAGAAAAAAAAUGCAGGGUGGGGCAAAACAAUUUUGGGAUAUGUGCGAGGGAGCGAAUGCGACAGAGCAGAAUUUUGUGGGGGGGGGGAUAUAUGCGAGAGAGCAAAAUGACAGAAGGAAAAUGCAGGGGCCAAGAGAUUUGAGGAAUAUGUAAGAGGGAGCGAAGUGACCAAGCAGAAGAAAUGUAGAGGACAACAAAUUGUUGGGUAUGUGAGGGAGCAAAG